rnacentral:rRNA from 1 species
GGGAAAGGUGAAAAGUCCCCCUGUUAGGGGAGUGAAAUAGUACCUGAAACCUUUAGCAUACAAUCAGUCAGAGCCCUUCGGGGUGAUGGCGUACCUUUUGUAUAAUGGGUCAGCGACUUAAUUUCAGUAGCAAGCUUAACGUUAGGUAGGCGUAGGGAAACCGAGUCUUAAAUGGGCGAUUUAGUUUCUGGAAUUAGACCCGAAACCAAGCGAUCUAUCCAUGGUCAGGUUGAAGUGUGAGUAACAUCACAUGGAGGACCGAACCCACUUAUGUUGAAAAAUGAGGGGAUGAACUGUGGAUAGGGGUGAAAGGCCAAUCAAGCUUGGAGAUAGCUGGUUCUCUUCGAAAACUAUUUAGGUAGUGCCUCUUGUAUUACCAAUGGGGGUAGAGCACUGUUUCGGCUAGGGGGUCAUCCCGACUUACCAAACCGAUGCAAACUCCGAAUACCAUUGAGUAUAAGCAAGGGAGACAGACAGCGGGUGAUAACGUCCGUUGUCGAGAGGGAAACAACCCAGACCAACAGCUAAGGUCCCUAAUCGUGGUUAAGUGGAAAACGAUGUGAAUAGACUUAUACAGCUAGGAGGUUGGCUUAGAAGCAGCCAUCCUUUAAAGAAAGCGUAAUAGCUCACUAGUCUAGUUUGUCUGCGCGGAAGAUUUAACGGGGCUAAAUCACGAACCGAAGCUUUGGAUCAUCUUCGGAUGAUGGUAGAAGAGCGUUCUGUAAGCCUGUGAAGGUAAAUCGAGAGGUUUGCUGGAGGUAUCAGAAGUGCGAAUGCUGACAUGAGUAACGAAUAAGGAGGUGAAAAACCUCCUCGCCGGAAGACUAAGGAUUCCUGUCCAACGCUUUUCGUGGCAGGGUUAGUCGGCCCCUAAGACGUACCCGAAAGGGGAAGUCGAUGGGAAACAGGUUAAUAUUCCUGUACCAGUUGGAAGUGACGGAUCUGGUAAAUUGUAUACACUUAUUGGAUUGUGUAUGCAGUGAACAGGUUCCAAGAAAUAGCUCCAACAUAGACCGUACCACAAACCGACACAGGUGGUCAGGUAGAGAAUACCGAGGCGGAUGAGAUAACUCUGGUGAAGGAACUAGGCAAAAUGUAACCGUAACUUCGGGAGAAGGUUAGCCAAUUUUAAGGCAACUUUAAAUUGGUCGAAGAUACCAGGUGGCUGCGACUGUUUACUAAAAACACAGCACUCUGCUAACACGAAAGUGGACGUAUAGGGUGUGACGCCUGCCCGGUGCCGGAAGGUUAAAUGAUGGGGUUAGCUUCGGCAAAGCUCUUGAUUGAAGCCCCGGUAAACGGCGGCCGUAACUAUAACGGUCCUAAGGUAGCGAAAUUCCUUGUCGGGUAAGUUCCGACCUGCACGAAUGGCGUAACGAUGGCCACACUGUCUCCACCAGAGGCUCAGUGAAAUUGAAAUAGCUGUUAAGAUGCAGUUUACCCGCAGCUAGACGGAAAGACCCCGUGCACCUUUACUACAGGUUCACACUGAAUUUCGGUCAUAUUUGUGUAGGAUAGGUGGGAGACUUUGAAACUAUGACGCCAGUUGUAGUGGAGUCGUCCUUGAAAUACCACCCUUGUAAGAUUGACAUUCUAACUUUGAUUUAGUCAAGGACAGUGUGUGCUGGGUAGUUUGACUGGGGCGGUCUCCUCCUAAAGAGUAACGGAGGAGCACGAAGGUAUCCUCAACACGGUCGGACAUCGUGUGUAGAGUGCAAAAGCAAAAGGAUGCUUGACUGCGAGAUCGACGGAUCGAGCAGGUAGGAAACUAGGUUUUAGUGAUCCGGUGGUUCUGAAUGGAAGGGCCAUCGCUCAACGGAUAAAAGGUACGCCGGGGAUAACAGGCUGAUAGCGCCCAAGAGUUCAUAUCGACGGCGCUGUUUGGCACCUCGAUGUCGGCUCAUCUCAUCCUGGGGCUGGAGCAGGUCCCAAGGGUAUGGCUGUUCGCCAUUUAAAGAGGUACGCGAGCUGGGUUUAGAACGUCGUGAGACAGUUCGGUCCCUAUCUGCUGUGGGCGUUGGAGAUUUGAAGGAAGCUGCUUCUAGUACGAGAGGACCGAAGUGGACGAACCCCUGGUGGGCCGGUUGUUGCGCCAGCAGCAUUGCCGGGUAGCUAUGUUCGGAAAGGAUAACCGCUGAAAGCAUAUAAGCGGGAAGCCUCACCUAAGAUGAGAUCUCCCUUGAGAGCCGUUGAAGACGACAACGUUGAUAGGCUAGAUGUGUAAGUCCUGUAAAGGAUUCAGCUUACUAGUACUAAUUGCUCGAUCGGCUUGAAUAA